CAGUAGCCGCGGUAAUACGAAGGGUGCAAGCGUUACUCGGAAUUACUGGGCGUAAAGCGUGCGUAGGUGGUGGUUUAAGUCCGUUGUGAAAGCCCUGGGCUCAACAUGGGAAUUGCAGUGGAUACUGGGUCACUAGAGUGUGGUAGAGGAUAGUGGAAUUUCCGGUGUAGCAGUGAAAUGCGUAGAGAUCGGAAGGAGCAUCUGUGGCGAAGGCGACUAUCUGGGCCAACACUGACACUGAGGCACGAAAGCGUGGGGAGCAAACAGGAUUAGAUACCCCAGUAGUCCCUGUCUCUUAUAC
rnacentral:rRNA from 1 species